AACGAACGCUGGCGGCGUGGAUAAGACAUGCAAGUCGAACGGGAUUACUUUUGGUAGCAAUACCGAAAGUGAUUCAGUGGCGAACGGGUGCGUAACACGUGGGCAAUCUACCGAGAAGUGGGGGAUAGCUCGCCGAAAGGCGAAUUAAUACCGCAUGUGAUCAGAGGCGACAUCGCUUCGAAAUCAAAGGUGGCGCAAGCUACCGCUUUUUGAGGAGCCCGCGGCCUAUCAGCUUGUUGGUGAGGUAACGGCUCACCAAGGCAUUGACGGGUAGCUGGUCUGAGAGGACGACCAGUCACACUGGGACUGAGACACGGCCCAGACACCUACGGGUGGCAGCAGUCGAGAAUUUUUCUCAAUGGGGAAACCCUGAAGGAGCGACGCCGCGU
rnacentral:rRNA from 1 species